GUCGAACGGAGUUAAGGGGCUUGCUCCUUAACUUAGUGGCGCACGGGUGAGUAACGCGUGGAUAAUCUGCCCUGGUAUCCGGGAUAACAUUUCGAAAGGAGUGCUAAUACGGGAUAAGCUUACGGGGUCUUAGGAUCUUGUGGGAAAAGGUGGGGACCUUCGGGCCUACCGUAUCAGGAUGAGUCCGCGUACCAUUAGCUAGUUGGCGGGGUAAAGGCCCACCAAGGCGACGAUGGUUAGCUGGUCUGAGAGGAUGAUCAGCCACACUGGAACUGAGACACGGUCCAGACUCCUACGGGAGGCAGCAGUGGGGAAUUUUGCGCAAUGGGGGAAACCCUGACGCAGCAACGCCGCGUGAGUGAUGAAGGCCUUCGGGUCGUAAAGCUCUGUCAGAGGGAAAGAAGUGUAUGGUGGCUAAUAUCCAUUGUACUUGACGGUACCCUCAAAGGAAGCACCGGCUAACUCCGUGCCAGCAGCCGCGGUAAUACGGAGGGUGCGAGCGUUGUUCGGAAUUAUUGGGCGUAAAGCGCGUGUAGGCGGUUUUUUAAGUCUGAUGUGAAAGCCCCGGGCUCAACCUGGGAAGUGCAUUGGAAACUGGGAGACUUGAAUACGGGAGAGGGUAGUGGAAUUCCUGGUGUAGGAGUGAAAUCCGUAGAUAUCAGGAGGAACACCGGUGGCGAAGGCGGCUGCCUGGACCGAUAUUGACGCUGAGACGCGAAAGCGUGGGGAGCAAACA
rnacentral:rRNA from 1 species